UGUAAAAGUUAGGAAAAGGAAAAAAAAUUUAAAUGAUAGUGACUAAUUUUAUUGAAUUUUGGGUUAACUAUUUUUUAAUUUACAUUGGUAAACAUUUAGUCAAUCUCUGCUUUUUUUUAGUUUAUUAGAAUUUUGUUGAAAUUCAAUUGUUAUUUUUAAAAUGUAAAAUCCUUUAAAUGUCUUUUAAUUUUUUUUUAUCAACUCAUUCAUGAUUUAUUUUGUAUUAUAAUUUUUGUGGUAUAAUUAGGUCUAAUUGGGACUUGAACUUGAGACUUAAUAGCCCUAGAGACUACUCCAGUACUACUAAGAUAAAGGUAUUAGUU
rnacentral:misc_RNA from 1 species